UGGGGAAUAUUGGACAAUGGGGGCAACCCUGAUCCAGCCAUGCCGCGUGAGUGAUGAAGGCCUUAGGGUUGUAAAGCUCUUUCACCCGGGACGAUAAUGACGGUACCGGGAGAAGAAGCCCCGGCUAACUUCGUGCCAGCAGCCGCGGUAAUACGAAGGGGGCUAGCGUUGUUCGGAAUCACUGGGCGUAAAGCGCACGUAGGCGGACCGUUAAGUCGGAGGUGAAAUCCUGGGGCUCAACCCCAGAACUGCCUUCGAUACUGGCGGUCUCGAGUCCGGAAGAGGUGAGUGGAACUGCCAGUGUAGAGGUGAAAUUCGUAGAUAUUGGCAAGAACACCAGUGGCGAAGGCGGCUCACUGGUCCGGUACUGACGCUGAGGUGCGAAAGCGUGGGGAGCAAAACAGGAUUAGAUACCCUGGUAGUCCACGCCGUAAACGAUGAAUGCCAGCCGUCGGGCAGCAUGCUGUUCGGUGGCGCAGCUAACGCUUUAAGCAUUCCGCCUGGGGAGUACGGUCGCAAGAUUAAAAACUUAAAGGAAUUGACGGGGUCAUAGCUGUUUCCU
rnacentral:rRNA from 1 species